rnacentral:rRNA from 1 species
UCAAUAAGCGGAGGAAAAGAAACUAACAAGGAUUCCCCUAGUAGCGGCGAGCGAAGCGGGAAGAGCUCAAAUUUAUAAUCUGGCACCUUCGGUGUCCGAGUUGUAAUCUCUAGAAAUGUUUUCCGCGUUGGACCGCACACAAGUCUGUUGGAAUACAGCGGCAUAGUGGUGAGACCCCCGUAUAUGGUGCGGACGCCCAGCGCUUUGUGAUACAUUUUCGAAGAGUCGAGUUGUUUGGGAAUGCAGCUCAAAUUGGGUGGUAAAUUCCAUCUAAAGCUAAAUAUUGGCGAGAGACCGAUAGCGAACAAGUACCGUGAGGGAAAGAUGAAAAGCACUUUGGAAAGAGAGUUAACAGUACGUGAAAUUGUUGGAAGGGAAACGCUUGAAGUCAGACUUGCUUGCCGAGCAAUCGGUUUGCAGGCCAGCAUCAGUUUUCCGGGAUGGAUAAUGGUAAAGAGAAGGUAGCAGUUUCGGCUGUGUUAUAGCUCUCUACUGGAUACAUCCUGGGGGACUGAGGAACGCAGUGUGCCUUUGGCGGGGGUUUCGACCUCUUCACACUUAGGAU